GGUGGGCCGAGCUGCCCGCCCGCACGCCCAGCAGAUCCGAGGCUCGGCCAUGUCAGCUCCAGACUCAGGCAGUGGUCCUCCUGGGCAGCCGGCCCCUUUCCCCCCGGCCCCACCACCACCUCCAAUUCUUCCUCCUCCUUUUAUGCCUCCUCCUGGGAUUCCGCCACCAUUCCCCCCAAUGGGGUUGCCCCCCAUGGGUCCACGCCCACCACCCAUGCCUCCCAUGCCCCCGGGCAUGAUGCCACCUCCGCCAAUGAUUCCACCCAUGCCUGGACCUCCACCCAUGGGACAGAUUCCCACAAUGGUGCCACCCAUGCUUCCUGGGAUGAUGAUGCCUGGGGUGCCAGCUGGGCCUGUUUCUGUCUCUGGUGGGGCAGCUCCUGUGACAGACCCAUCCAGUGCCACUGUGACCCAGGCAGCCCCUGUGAAGCCUGCCUGGAGUGAGCAUAGGGCCCCCGAUGGGCGUGUUUACUACUACAAUUCUGAAACCAAACAAUCAAGCUGGGAAAAGCCAGAUGAACUCAAGUCCAAGGCAGAGCUCUUACUUUCACGCUGUCCCUGGCGUGAGUACCACUCAGAGACGGGGAAGCCCUACUACUACAAUGCUCAGAGCAAGGAAUCGCGCUGGACCCGGCCCCGUGAGCUUGAUGAUAUCGAAGCACUGAUCAAGGAAGAGGAAGAGGAUUUGGAGAGGCAGCAGCUGCCUGAGACCUCUUUGUCCGCCCCUGCCAGUCCGAGCCCAUCGUCUGCUGCCACGUCAGACACAGAAGGGACUGGAGGCAUUGAAGGACAGGAGACCCCAACCACUGAGGGGGCUCCUCCUGCAGCUGAGGAGGAAACCAUAAGCAGUUCUGGCCCUGGACGGAGAGACGAGGAAGAUCGAGUCACCGGUAAUGCCUGGAGCAGCAAGGAAGAAGCCAAGCAAGCUUUUAAGGAGCUUCUAAAAGACAAGGGUGUCCCAGCAAGUGCAUCAUGGGAGCAGGCCAUGAAACUCGUUAGUAGUGACCCACGAUUCAGUGCCUUGCCCAAACUGAGUGAGAAGAAGCAGACUUUUAACGCCUACAAGGCCCAGCGGGACAAGGAGGAGAAAGAGGAGGCCCGACUCCGGGCAAAGGAGGCCAAAGAGGAGCUGCAGCGCUUCUUGGAACAGCACAACAAAAUGAGCUCCAUCACUCGCUACAGGAAAGCAGAGCAAAUGUUUGGGGAGCUGGAAGUGUGGGCCAUGGUGCCGGAGCGUGACCGCAAGGAGAUCUAUGACGAUGUUCUCUUUUUCUUGGCAAAGAAGGAGAAGGAGCAUGCCAAGCAGCUGCGCAAGAGGAAUAUCCAGGCUCUGAAGAGCAUCCUGGACAGCAUGAGCCGCGUCAGCUUCCAGACCACCUGGUCCGAGGCCCAGCAGUACCUGAUGGACAACCCCAGCUUUGCCGAGGAUGAGGACCUGCAAAACAUGGACAAGGAAGAUGCCUUGAUCUGCUUUGAGGAACACAUCCGGACUCUGGAAAGGGAGGAGGAGGAAGAGCGCGAGUGUGGCCGACUACGAGAGAGACGCCAGCAGCGCAAGAACAGGGAGGCCUUUCAGGCCUUCUUGGACGAGCUUCAUGAAAAUGGGCGCCUGCACUCCAUGUCCACCUGGAUGGAGCUGUACCCCUCGCUCAGCACUGACAGACGCUUUGCCAACAUGUUGGGUCAGCCUGGUUCCACUCCUCUAGACCUGUUUAAAUUCUAUGUGGAAGACCUCAAGGCACGCUUCCAUGAUGAAAAGAAGAUAAUCAAGGAUAUUCUCAAGGACCGCAACUUCUGCGUGGAAAUAAACACGACCUUUGAAGAUUUUGCCCAUGUCAUCAGCUUUGACAAACGUGCUGCUACCCUUGAUGCAGGCAACAUUAAGCUGACUUUCAACAGUCUGCUGGAGAAGGCCGAGGCACGGGAGCGAGAGCGGGAGAAGGAAGAAACUCGUAAAUUGCGGCGCAAGGAGGCAGCAUUCAAGAGCAUGUUGCGUCAGGCAGCUCCCCCUCUGGAACCUAAUACCACCUGGGAUGAGGUGCGCGAGCGGUUUGUCAAUAACAUAGCUUUUGAACAGAUCACGCUGGAAUCAGAACGAAUCCGUCUGUUUCGUGAGUUCCUGCAAGUGCUGGAGACUGAGUGUCAACACUUCCAUGCCAAGGCUAAGAAGCAUGCUAAGAAGCCCAAGAAACACCAUCACAAACGCUCUGCUUCGGGCUCAGAAUCAGGCUCAGAUCAUCCCCACCGGGGAGCCAAACGCAAGAAACGGAACCAUUCUGAAUCAGCUGGUUCAGGAGCAUCUUCUUCACCUGAUUCAGAGCACAGCACCAGGCGCUCCAAGAGACAGAAGAAGAAGAGUAGAAAAAAAAGAGCGCCAAUCGAACAGCCCAGAAAGUGAAGCUGAGCGCAAGAAAGAGCCCAGCCGCCCUGACGAGUGGGAGCGGGAGAAGAUCCCUCCACGGCCUGAGGGAAGAGGCCACUCCCCUCCCCGGGGUGCCAGAAGGGAGCGGAGUGGCUGGGAUACCUCAGAGAGCGAGGAGCUCAGUGAAGGGGAGCUAGAACGGCGGCGGCGGACUCUUUUGCAGCAAUUGGGCGAUCACUAACAGCUGCUGCCUUUUCUGUGAGGUUUCCUCCCCCUUCCCCAUUACAUGUGAGACCCAGUUGGUCCCAAUUGCUUUCCUUUGGCCUGAAUAGCAUCCAGGUCAAGUGUGUGCAUUGCCCUGACUGGAACCUGCUUAAUCGGGCUGCAGCCCUGCGUGGUAACUGUUUACUUACUUCUGAGGCAGGAAUGUCAUCCUGCCUCUUGGGAGGGACAAUCCCGAUCAACUCAUUCUGUCUGCAGAGAGCACAGAGGGGGAUUUUGGACAGACCACCUGGACCUUGAUGGCUUUCCCAAAGUAUACCAGCAGCUCUGGGAUCCAGCCUAGAGAUGAAAUGAGAUGGGGUUGGCUUGAGCCGGCAUCCAUUAGAAAACAGACACUGGAUUGAACAACAUCCCUUAUCUGCAUUCGCCGGCUGGGAACCACCUUGAUCAAGAAUCAGAAGGCCCAGGGCCAGCUAGUAGCAGUCCAGUGUGUUUCGGGGUCAGGGAUGGGGUGUGUGGGCCUGAUCUCAAUUGUUUGUUCCCGCCAUUAGAUCCCUCUUGCUGGUUGCGAUAUCCCUUGUGUGUUGGGGAUUCAGUGGGAUUUUUAAAAUAAUAUUUAUAAACCUGGAGCAGAUCUGUAUUGUGUUCUGACUUCCUGUAAAGGAUUAGUUUAAAUGUGGUAUUGACUUCAGAUUGUCUUGAUGCUGGCCCUCAGCUCUGUUUCUUGGCCUAUUAGGAAAAUCUUCAGGUUGCUUUCAGUGUAUCCUGGAUCCUGAUCAGACAGCAUAAAAGCAUUUUUGAA